GAUGAACGCUGGCGGCGUGCCUAAUACAUGCAAGUCGAGCGAACGGACGAGAAGCUUGCUUCUCUGAUGUUAGCGGCGGACGGGCGAGUAACACGUGGAUAACCUACCUAUAAGACUGGGAUAACUUCGGGAAACCGUAGCUAAUACCGGAUAAUAUUUUGAACCGCAUGGUUCAAAAGUGAAAGACGGUCUUGCUGUCACUUAUAGAUGGAUCCGCGCUGCAUUAGCUAGUUGGUAAGGUAACGGCUUACCAAGGCAACGAUGCAUAGCCGACCUGAGAGGGUGAUCGGCCACACUGGAACUGAGACACGGUCCAGACUCCUACGGGAGGCAGCAGUAGGGAAUCUUCCGCAAUGGGCGAAAGCCUGACGGAGCAACGCCGCGUGAGUGAUGAAGGUCUUCGGAUCGUAAAACUCUGUUAUUAGGGAAGAACAUAUGUGUAAGUAACUGUGCACAUCUUGACGGUACCUAAUCAGAAAGCCACGGCUAACUACAUG
rnacentral:rRNA from 1 species